rnacentral:rRNA from 1 species
AGUGAACGCUGGCGGUAGGCCUAACACAUGCAAGUCGAACGGCAGCACAGUAAGAGCUUGCUCUUACGGGAGGCGAGUGGCGGACGGGUGAGGAAUACAUCGGAAUCUACUUUUUCGUGGGGGAUAACGUAGGGAAACUUACGCUAAUACCGCAUACGACCUACGGGUGAAAGCAGGGGAUCUUCGGACCUUGCGCGGUUGAAUGAGCCGAUGUGGGAUUAGCUAGUUGGCGGGGUAAAGGCCCACCAAGGCGACGAUCCGUAGCUGGUCUGAGAGGAUGACCAGCCACACUGGAACUGAGACACGGUCCAGACUCCUACGGGAGGCAGCAGUGGGGAAUAUUGGACAAUGGGCGCAAGCCUGAUCCAGCCAUACCGCGUGGGUGAAGAAGGCCUUCGGGUUGUAAAGCCCUUUUGUUGGGAAAGAAAAGCAGCAGGUUAAUACCCCGCUGUUCUGACGGUACCCAAAGAAGAAGCACCGGCUAACUUCGUG